rnacentral:rRNA from 1 species
UACGGGGGGAGCAAGCGUUGUUCGGAUUUACUGGGCGUAAAGGGCGCGUAGGCGGCCAGCACAAGUCAGUUGUGAAAUCUCCGGGCUUAACUCGGAAAGGUCAACUGAUACUGUGCGGCUAGAGUGCGGAAGGGGCAACUGGAAUUCUCGGUGUAGCGGUGAAAUGCGUAGAUAUCGAGAGGAACACCUGCGGCGAAGGCGGGUUGCUGGGCCGACACUGACGCUGAGGCGCGAAAGCGUGGGGAGCGAACAGG